UGAAUUGAUGGGCCCAGAGCGUUAUGGGCGAGUGAGGGAAGUUCGUCAUCUUCAAGCAACUAUUGAAGAGUUGAAGCAAAACCAAGCAAAUUUGCAAGCUCAGCUUACGAAUAUUUCAUCAAUGUUACAACGAUUUCUCCCUUCUCAGAUUUCUGAUACUUCAAACGCUUGUAGAGAUGAUGAUGGAGCUGAAUCCCGUCCCUGAUG